CGAUACCUACCUCGUCAAGACAUUCCAAUAAAAGUUGUUAAAACUCGGAUUAAAAACUCUUAAAACAAUCCAGUGUGGAGCCCUGGACCUGUGAGAGUGCAGCCGGAGAGAACGGACGUGUCCCUCACGAAGAAAACGCAUCGGUCAGGUUUUUUUGUUGGACCCUUUGAACCUUUGAUCUACCUGGAUGUUGGAGCCUGGAUCGAGAUAUUGAUGGCGAGCCGCAGCCCAGAGGAGAACUAGAGAUACGGCGCCUGCAGAAUUCAACACUUCAUUACAUACACACACACCCACCACCAACUGUGCGGUAGGACAAACUCUCUCCACUUCCACAGUGGACCGAACUGAAACUGAAACAGAAUUGAAGUGACUGAGAACGGGGGGGAAAUUCCAAACUUUAAAUCACAGCUGUGAGUUUUGUUUACAUUUUUUAUUUUUCUACUUACCCGGGUAAGAUUUGUGCAAUUUUAAAGUGUGUAAUUUUCAUAUGUUUUUGGCUAUCCUUCCCACCCAUGUAAUAAAAGGGAAGCGAUUUUGUUUCUCAAGAAAGUA